rnacentral:rRNA from 1 species
CGGACGGCUGAGUAACACGUGGGAACAUACCCCAAAGUGAGGGAUAAGCACCAGAAAUGGUGUCUAAUACCGCAUAUGAUCUUCGGAUUAAAGUAUUUAUACGCUUUGGGAAUGGCCUGCGUCCGAUUAGGUUGUUGGUGAGGUAAUGGCUCACCAAGCCGACGAUCGGUAGCUGGUCUGAGAGGAUGACCAGCCAGACUGGAACUGAGACACGGUCCAG